UAGGGAAUCUUCCGCAAUGGGCGAAAGCCUGACGGAGCAACGCCGCGUGAGUGAUGAAGGUCUUCGGAUCGUAAAACUCUGUUAUUAGGGAAGAACAAAUGUGUAAGUAACUAUGCACGUCUUGACGGUACCUAAUCAGAAAGCCACGGCUAACUACGUGCCAGCAGCCGCGGUAAUACGUAGGUGGCAAGCGUUAUCCGGAAUUAUUGGGCGUAAAGCGCGCGUAGGCGGUUUUUUAAGUCUGAUGUGAAAGCCCACGGCUCAACCGUGGAGGGUCAUUGGAAACUGGAAAACUUGAGUGCAGAAGAGGAAGUGGAAUUCCAUGUGUAGCGGUGAAAUGCGCAGAGAUAUGGAGGAACACCAGUGGCGAAGGCGACUUUCUGGUCUGUAACUGACGCUGAUGUGCGAAAGCGUGGGGAUCAAACAGG
rnacentral:rRNA from 1 species